UCCGACCCCUCCUCAUGUGCUAGCCAUCGCUCCUUUCCCAUCUAAAUCUGACCUAGAUGGCACCACGACCAAAAGGUUGUUGCUUCUCCUUCUCAUAGGCCCUCGUAGUUUUUUGUGCUGGACCACAAAGUGUUUGGUGCCGCUGAUGCAGCGGGCGUGGAUACCUUAGAGGCAUCUUCUACCUUGACGCUAGGUCGAGCGGGGCCGUUCCAGCAGAUACUAUCAUGGCUGGGAGGUAUAAACUAGUUGCGGGAGUCGAUAGGAUUAACCAAAAUCUUCUCUACUUCUGAUGCGUCGAAUUUAUCGUUGUUAGAAGAUUCACACACGCUCGUGAUGGAAAUCUUCAGACCUGAGUACUUGAGGGCAGCCCUGUCAAGUAUUGAAAACCACAUUUCCUCUGACAAAUUAAGACACGUUGUGUGAUCUUGCACAACAUGAUCAUCGAGGAUAAGAGAGGAAUGCCAGAGAACUUUUGGCACCCUUCAACCGAGAUCCGAUUGGGCCUAAACAUAAUUAAAACAGGAUCCACAGAUUCCUUGCAACGCACCGGAGGAUCAAGAAAUGAGAAGUUCAUAUCCAGCUCCAAGAUGAUCUUGUUGGGCACUUGAGGGCACUUCAUAGCGCUUGAUUCUUGUGCCUUUACCAUGCUUUUUUUACUUGGAUUAUUACUUCAUUAGGACCCUUUUGUGUGUUUGAAUUUUAAUAAUUAUUUUCUAAACUUUGACUUUGUUAUGUUGUUGAA